GCAUAUCAAUAAGCGGAGGAAAAGAAACCAACCGGGAUUGCCUCAGUAACGGCGAGUGAAGCGGCAAGAGCUCAAAUUUGAAAGCUGGCUCCUUCGGGGUCCGCAUUGUAAUUUGCAGAGGAUGCUUCGGGUGCAGCCCCCGUCUAAGUGCCCUGGAACGGGCCGUCAUAGAGGGUGAGAAUCCCGUAUGGGGCGGGGUGUCUGCGUCCGUGUGAAGCUCCUUCGACGAGUCGAGUUGUUUGGGAAUGCAGCUCUAAAUGGGUGGUAAAUUUCAUCUAAAGCUAAAUACUGGCCGGAGACCGAUAGCGCACAAGUAGAGUGAUCGAAAGAUGAAAAGCACUUUGAAAAGAGAGUUAAACAGCACGUGAAAUUGUUGAAAGGGAAGCGCUUGCGACCAGACUCGCUCGCGGGGUUCAGCCGGCAUUCGGGCCGGUGUACUUCCCCGCGGGCGGGCCAGCGUCGGUUUGGGCGGCCGGUCAAAGGCCCCCGGAAUGUAUCGCCUCUCGGGGUGUCUUAUAGCCGGGGGUGCAAUGCGGCCAGCCUGGACCGAGGAACGCGCUUCGGCACGGACGCUGGCAUAAUGGUCGUAAGCGACCCGUCUUGAAACACGGACCAAGGAGUCUAACAUCUACGCGAGUGUUCGGGUGUCAAACCCGUACGCGCAGUGAAAGCGAACGGAGGUGGGAGCUUCGGCGCACCAUCGACCGAUCCUGAUGUCUUCGGAUGGAUUUGAGUAAGAGCGUAAAUGUGGGGACCCGAAAGAUGGUGAACUAUGCCUGAAUAGGGUGAAGCCAGAGGAAACUCUGGUGGAGGCUCGCAGCGGUUCCGACGAGCAAACCCCUCGUC
rnacentral:rRNA from 1 species